rnacentral:rRNA from 1 species
GACGAACGCUGGCGGCGUGCUUAACACAUGCAAGUCGAACGGAAAGGCCCUGCUUUUGUGGGGUGCUCGAGUGGCGAACGGGUGAGUAACACGUGAGUAACCUGCCCUUGACUUUGGGAUAACUUCAGGAAACUGGGGCUAAUACCGGAUAGGAGCUCCUGCUGCAUGGUGGGGGUUGGAAAGUUUCGGCGGUUGGGGAUGGACUCGCGGCUUAUCAGCUUGUUGGUGGGGUAGUGGCUUACCAAGGCUUUGACGGGUAGCCGGCCUGGGAGGGUGACCGGCCACAUUGGGACUGAGAUACGGCCCAGACUCCUACGGGAAGCAGCAGUGGGGAAUAUUGCACAAUGGGCGGAAGCCUGAUGCAGCAACGCCGCGUGCGGGAUGACGGCCUUCGGGUUGUAAACCGCUUUCGCCUGUGACGAAGCGUGAGUGACGGUAAUGGGUAAAGAAGCACCGGCUAACUACGUG